AUUAAAAUUAAACAACAUAGAUCACGGUGAUGAAAAUGGAUGUAGAUCU
rnacentral:guide_RNA from 1 species